rnacentral:piRNA from 1 species
UAUUCCGCAAUUAUUUAUAUC